UUUGGGAGUGGAAAAGAGGUUUCGGAUCAUCCCGUCCCACUGUAAAUUCAACACUGCCAGGUCCACGCGAAACCGCGUCCCCAAGUCCACACAUCUCUUAAAUACCUCUUGGGGUGGUGACUCCACCGCAGCCCUGGGCAGUUUGUUCCAGUGCUUGGCAAUCCUGCCAGUUUCCAGUCUGAAUUUCCACAGAGAAACUGUGAACAGCUGAGGCUGUUUGCUCUUGUCCUACCACUUAACAUUUUAGUCUUUUCUCCCGAGCAGUAAGAACAGCUCAGGUCACUCAAGUGCCCCUCCUCAGGCACUGGCCUUUUACACUCCAUAUUAGACAAAGAGCUGCAACAGUUUAGCACAACAAAUUAGUUGACUCCAUUAUCACUGCAUUAUUGGUGAAUGCUGUCAAUCAUAGAAUAGUUUGGGUUGGAAGGGACCCUUAAAAUCAUCUCGUUUCAGCCCUCCCCUGCUGUGGACAGGGACGCCUUCACCAGCCCAGGUUGCUCCAAGCCCCAUCCAUCCUGGCCUUGGACAUUUCUGGGGACGGGGCAGCCACAACCUCUCUGAGCCCUUAUUGUGAAAAACUUCAUGUUUCGUGACUGUGCAUUAUGUAUGUCUCCCUUAGGCAAUUUAAAGACGCUUAUUUUCCAAGCUGUGGAGUAUUUCUCCAAGGUGUCUGACCAGAACAACGAGACUGGCCAUGUUAUUGGCUAAGAUAAAGUCUCAACUGGCAUCUUUUAAGAACUGCUUGCUGGGGACCUACUUGAAGAGACUUGUGAUGUUCACCCUCUUCCAAGCUUGGAUCCUACCACCUCAUAAAGGAAGAUGUUGUAUAAUAUGAAGAAAUAAUGCUUUGCAACAAGUGCUUGAAGUGAAUUAAUACUGUGAAUUUCAAGGAGCAUUCUACACUUAUGUUUGUGAUGUAAAUGCAGCUGUGUCUGGAGCUCUGGACAAGAGGUGCUAUGAAGAAGGAGUUCUCCUCCUUCAGUGGCAGAACAGGGAGCUCUGGAUUGCUGCACCUAUGGUGACACUUCUUCGCAGGGCAUUCUUGGAGAGAGGAGGAGCCAGAGGAAGACACACUGCAGCUAUCCCAGAAUAAGUUUCAGAGAGAUUAAAAGAAAAAAAAAAAACCCAGAAUCAAAUCAAUGAAAAUGCAGGCAGAGCCAGGUGUGGUAAGGUACAAAGCUAUUAAGACAUGGCCUGCAAAUCCAGAUCACCACUGAAAUACCAUAAGAAACCUGGAUGGAGUGGUGAAGCUGGCACUGCAGAUUUACCCCACUGAAGUUCCUCAGAAGACCAGCGUGCUGGAAAAUGCAGUUCUGGGAGAAGGACUGCCAGCAUUACUAUGGAAACCCCCAAAAAUAAAGACUCCCAGCCUUGUGAGAGUACACCUGCAAGAGUAAGAGCUGCCUAUCAAAAGUGACUUCUUCAUUAUGGAUGUCACCUAAGGACAUUUUGUGUGGUCAGUAUGACUUUUUCUCUCAAAAUAUAUUGAAAUUAUAUUCUUAGCAUUAAUACAAUUUGGUAUCUUGCCAAGGACUAGUAACAAAUGUCUGUUGCUAUCCAGUAGUGCUCUCUUUAAUACACUAUCUCAGUUUCAAGAGAAAACCAGCUCUUGACAAAAUGUAGAUUUGAGUUUGGAAGCCCUUAAAUAUCAAGAUGAAAUAAGCACUCAUCUCAGUGAGAUAAACAUGUAAAAUGAAGAUCUAAUAAGCUGUUUUAAUAUAAAUCAUUCCACUGGCUUCAGAAGGACUUGGAUCAGAGUUACAAAGAGAAUUGCAAGAAUUCAUCUGCUGCUUCCUAGUAGAUAGGUGGAGCAUAUUUACUAGUGAGCAGUUGGCUGCUAUCAAAAUGGAUCUGUUUAGACUUUUCCACAUUGCUAAUUUUAUAUUUUUUGUUGUUACAGAAUUAAACGGCUUGAUCUGAAAUUUUACAAUUGAAUUAGUUCUGUGCAGUUUUCAAAUUAACAACAAAAAAAUUUUAGUUCAUUACAAUGGCUUAGCAUGUAUUUUUUCAAAGGAAAAAGGUAGCUAUGGUGGUGGGACUGAAUUCAGAUAACCUGGCAGUAUCUAUGAAUAAUAUUUCAAGAGAAUGUUUUUGAAAUAACAAGCUUUCAAACCAACAAGAUAUUUCCAUUCUUUUGGUGCCUACUUUCUGUUUUUAACAGAAUUUUCUAUUCUACUUGCCAAAUUGUUAAAAUUUACAGUAUAUGAAGGAUAUUGAUUUGUGUACUUUUCUGCAGUGUAGUGGCAAUUUGACAAGUCUGCAUCUGUAAUGAGCACCACUGGAAAAACAGAGAUUUUUUUGGUUUUUUUUCUAUAUUAAUGACAUUCUAAAACCAGUGAAAAACUGAACUUUAAAUAUUGCUAGAAAUACACCUUUGUGUUAUUACCAAUAGCACAGGAAAAUCACCUACAUAUUUUUUUGCUGCUGUUUGAACAUACUGAAAAACCUAACUUAAAUGCACUCAGGUGUCACCAAGAUCUGCUUUUCACUGCUGUUUCAAUGAGCAAAGUCCUUGCAAGAACUGUGUUUCAGCAUAGACAAACCUCAGAAAUGCUAUCUGUAACAUCUCCAUGGUUUGCCUAAUACCAAAUGAUCCUGUUCAAGUCAAUAGACACCUUGGGAAAUUAGAUGCUAUUCCAGGUGAAGAGGAGCAUCAGACCUCAGCUCUCUGGGAGCAAUGAAGUACUAAAGGAAAGAGCAAAUUGAGUCCUCAAACCAAGUGUUUGCAGUACAGAGCAGAGUCUAAAGAGGGAGGGAUUCAUUCUAGCAGAACAUCUAGCUGUACAUGACAAAUUAGUGUCAUGACUAUUGAUGGCACUGUCUCUGAAUAUAAUCUCAUCAGAAUAUUAUAUUUUUGCAGGACUGGAGCUUCUUGUUGUACAAAUGAAAAAUUUUCCCAAAGAAAUCUGGUGUUUGGAAGCAGAAAUUGUUCCAAAAGUGCACAGGUACUAUCAACAAGAGUACUGAAGUAAUCUUUGCUGUAUUUACCAGCUUUAGGUACUGCACUAUGAAAUUUCUGGAUGUUUGCAGUCAAUAAGGUUUCUGUGUCACAAAAGAAAUGUUUCCCCAACAAAUGCUGAUUCAAAUGUUAUACAUUCCCACUGCUUCAAUUUUUGCUCUAGGCUAAGUAGAUGAUUAUUAGUGUUGCUACAAGCUGUCAUAUUACUUCUGCUGCCCACCAAGGAGGUGGCUGUGUUGCAGCAUUAGGCAGGGAGUGCUCCUGUGUGCAUUUGAGCCCAAAAGGACCAUUUCAAAAGGUUGUUGCCUAUGUUCAUUGAUACCCUCUAAGGGUGAUUGUUGUUGCAGAUGGAAGCAGAAAUUUCCCUGAGAUGGUGGGUAGGAGUGGCAAUCAGAUGAAACUGGGAAAGGGUUGUAAGUGCUUUAAAUUUUUCUGUGGCAAAAAGUUGAAACUGCGGAUAGGUUAAAGAAUGAUGGGUUACCAUGCAGGGUUAAUUUUUCAGGAAGGAAGUGGAGAAAUUAUAAUGAAAUUAAUUGUAGUGGAAUUUGUAAACUGGCAUAGAAUGGAGGUCAGUCAUUGUAAAAUUAUUCCUCUUCCUUUGGCUGGAUGCUCUGUGCAAGCUGUUAUUCCCCCUCCUACAGUGUUAAAAUCACUUCUUUCAUUUGUGUGUGCUUUCUGGAACUGAUGAGAUUAAAACAGCAUAAUACCACUUCAACUCAAUAGGGAAUGAUUGCAACUGAAAAGCAUUUAUUUAUUUGAUGUGAAUCAUUCUGUAGCACAUUUCAGUUCCAUACUGGAGAGGAGGAUUUUUGUCUUUAAAAUGUUUACUUAAAUAGGAGAAGCAAGAAGAUGUCCCUGUCCCUGUCCCUUUACUUUGCUAAUGCAGGCAACACACACCUCACUUCAUAGUGCUGAUGUAUUGCAAGGGGGCAUCUAGGAUAGUUUCAAUUAUUCUACUGUUCACUGUUACCACAUCAAGCCUUUGCAGUUGUAUAUGAGGAUGCUGGUCAGUGUAAAAAAGAAAUCAUAAAGCAAUAUAAGUUUCCUAGAAAAGGUUACAAACAAAAAAAAAAAAAAAAAAAAGUGGAUUUUAUUGUAAUGCCACUGUCUUUUGGCUCUACCUUGCUAAUAUUUUUUAAAAUGAGCUAGACAUUAAAUAGCCACAGUGUUGUCUAAAAAUAAAGUUGAAGAUUUAUGGGGAAAAUUUUGUCCUGAUUAAAAGGACAGAUGAAUUGCGAAGAGAAUGACUUAAUAUUAUGGUAACCAUAAUAUUUGACUUUUAAUUGUACUAAAAAACACUUUAAUGUCAGCUGUCUUACGCUAAUGCAUAGCUUUACUUUCUUUUUUUUUUUUCAACUUAGUUAACAGUUCAGAUCAGAUCCUUUUAUUCCAAUUUACAUACAUGCCAGUCAUUGCAGGAUGGGACUAACACUUGUAUUGUAGCAAGAGCAAAACAGAGUUUGUAGAAAAAGAACAUAAACAAAAAAAUCCUUUUUUAGGCCAGUUAAUAUAAUUAGAAAGAACAGGCAGGCUUUUGGUCUCAAAGUCCUUUCUCUGGGUCUGAAAAGGAGCAGCAGAAUCUAAGACAGAGACAAAAUUAGGCCCAAUUCCUCUUAGUUUAAUCUAAUUAUGUUAGUCAGGACACUUGAGAGAUAAGGGUGCUUUGUAUGUGUAGAGCAAAGCUCCCUUCCACGUUACUGCAAUCAUACUCUGCUGGGAAAAGCUGUGUUGCAAGGAGAGCUGCACAAGCCAUACAUCAGUUUCCAGAGACCUCCUGGGGUCCCUAAUUGCUGGCAUGCACCCAGCCACACUGGCAGCACACACAGUCCUCAGGCCAGGCACUGGAAUACAGCCUUUGGAGUGGCUCAGUACAAGUGAACAUCACGAUCCGAGGUUUGCAUGUAGAGCUGCCCUGGACCUGUGGCUUCCUCAGCCCUGUCUGACUGCAGAGGAGCCCGAGUCCUGCGCAGAGACUGAGAGCAGCUCAGUGCCUGGGACUUCAGGAGCCUCUCUGGAGUGUCCCCCUGAGCUGCUGUGUGGACAAGAUUCCAAACAGGCAAGUGAAUAGAGUAGCAAUAUUCCUUGGCUUCCUUGGCCAUCUGGAUGUACUGCUAUCACCAGGCUCAUUUUCAGCUUGAUGAAUGUAAUGAUUUUGGCAAUGUCUGUGGCUGCUACCAAUCAUUCUUUUAACAAUUUCCAUUACCCUGGCCAGUUAUUUUCAGGGUCUUGGCCUUUUCUAUCACAGCUAUGUGUUUUUAUGUUUCAAGAUCUCUGAAGAGCAACUUGUACAAGUAUGUCCUUUUGUGUCUACUCAUCUUGGAGCCAUUUAUAUACAGCAAAUGCCUUUUGAAUGGGCUUGUGACAAAGUGACUCAGGCAAUGCUGCUCUAAAGGACCUUCCCACAGACAGUGAGUAAAAAGGAGACAAGCAUCAGCUCUGCAUUUUGCUGGACAGGGAAAACACACUAAGCAUACAGUCAGGUGGAAAGUAAUGUGGGUUUCAUAAUGGUGUCAGUAGCAGACCCCAGCUGUUCCCUGUGAUACAGCACACGUAGGGACUCUCCAGACAGGGCUGGUUUCAGCUCCAUUUUACUCUACAGUUUUGUCAAUCUUCAGGCUUUUUCAGCCCCAACAGGCAUCUCCUUGUGUAUUUUAAGCUGAAAGAAAAAUCAGCAAACAAAAACUGAGUCUACACAGGCACCCAGAAACAAAGCUGUCAUUAUAGGACAUGCAACUGCUUUUUCUGAAGCAUUGCUAAGUCUCAUUCUCUCAGAUCCGUACACACUGUCCUGCUCACGUCUUAGACCACUGGGGGAAAAGUUCCCAAACGUGCUUGAAAUACUAAAGUAGUCCCAGGAGGAAAAACCUAAACAAACACUAUCCCCCUCACUGAACACACCCCAUCCUUCCCUAACCUAGGCAGCCACUGACACUCUUAUCACUUUCUGCCAGCAACCCUGACUGUUCUAUUCUUCCCAAGGAAGGCUCACACUGCUUGUACAGUUUUUUGUCCACCCCUGUGCAUUGUAUGCCUCACUUACUGAGCCAGCUGUUCUGCUGAUUCUUAGAAGGGCUUUCACAGAAAGGAAUUCAGUGUAAAAAUGCUGCUGCCCUGAGACCAGGUGGUGACUAGCGGUGACUGGUCAUUAGGUCAGCCCCGGUGACUUGUGGUGACUGGCACCAUUCGUUACAAAAGGGGCCAAACAGCCAGACAGACACUUUGGCAGAAUGGCUUCUGAGUGACAACUUUCCUGUUAUCAGUCUUUACCAGCAUAUGUACAUAUCACAGUAAAGUAGACCAGGCAUCUCUAAUUACCAUUGCUAACUCACAAAAGUAGGGUUGGCUAGUCUUAGCUUCUUAACUAAGAAGAAGUUAUAAUAAAAAACAAAAACUGCACUUGGUGAAAAAUAUCAGUUACCACCUGAAAUAAAGACAUUGCAGAUGUCAUUUCCUUGAAUAUAUGGUUAAUAGUUUCAAAUCUUAGAAAGCAUAUGCCAGCUCCUCCCCAUCAUACAGCUGUACCAACUCCACAGUUUUUGGAUGAAGUUCAAAUCUUGUUUUUAGUAGGAUGAGAACUUUUUCCAGCACUGUAGUUAAGCAACAAGGAUAAUUCCAGUAAUAAGAUAGAAAAAUGAAAGUACCUUAGCAAGCAGGUAAAGAUCUAAAGCCUUGGGAAAGGCUGUGUAAGCUUUCAGCACAAAUAGAACCAUAGCAAAUUAAGCAGGUUUGCUAAAAUUGUACCUGAGAUGGCCACUCCUAGAACAAGGUCUUGAGCCACAACCUAACUUCUCCUUUCCAGGCAGCCCCUGCAGACGACCUGAAUCCAGACUGUCUAAAAGUCCCAUGUUCUCACUUGAGGCCACAUCAACCCUUACCAAAAAGGUCACAGAACAUCUUGUUUGGCUGGCCUCAAACUUUAUGGUCUCAUCACAAGGACAGAUGGGAUGUGGGGAGCUGACAGGGACAGGUAAUGCUCAGGGCUUGCCAGCACUGCAGGAUAAGGGUCAGAUGCUGGGAGUGAACUGUAGUUUCUCUCCAAGUGUACUGAUUAUUUCAGCAGUCCCAAAUGUGAUCCUGGGACCUGAUCAGGAGUUUCAUUCAAAGCAGUAAAUUUGUUCUUUAGGCUGUACUCAACUCACGGAGCUUCUUUAUCCGGUGGAUCAAGGAAAGCCCCCAAAAUUACACAUUAGGUAUGCACAGUUUCAUAGCAAAUGCAAAUACACACUUUAAAUGUCAUAUGAAUGCAGUGGAUUGUAUUCACAGCAUGCUGGUGGCCUACUUAAAUACUAGCAUUUUCUUCUCUUCAAUGCAUAUGUAAUUUAUAAUAGCCAGCUAACAUCAGGAAGCUCUUCCUGCUCCUAGGCUGAAAUGCUUGUAUAUUAUACUUAUAUACUGUGCUACCCCCAAAGACUAAUAGUAAAACAAAAUAGGGAAAUUCACUCCCUAGAGAGAAGACUCCUCUAGGCUUUAAGAACACAUAACUUCCAAUUAAAGCUUUACAGAAGAGCUGAUAUGUGCACUGUGACUAAGGCUCAAGACUACCCCAAUGUAUUUCUGUCUGAAGAAGUGCCUAUGGCACUGCUGUAGUAUCACAAACAUGUACCAGUAAAUCCACCUCUCAAUGCAGUUCAUCUCUCUUGGGAAUGAAGUUCAUCUUUCACGAUACAGCAUGGUCUUCUAAACAGAAGGAGAAAGAAAAAAACAUUUAUCAUUCUUGUGCCAGGCAGAGUUCAACUUGAAAGAAACUGGAGGAAAUGUGUAUCAUUCAUCUAAGGAACAAAUCCACACUACAGAUUUGUCUGAGAGACAAGUGAAUGUGUUCCAAAAAAGCUAUCCAUUUCAGAAUGGGAGGCUUGAAUCCAGUCCAACCAGAAAAUGCAUGCUGAGUAGCAUCCAUUUAUUCAGAGUAGUAAUGGUUUCUUCUAACAGCACAUUGCCUUGAUCAUUGUGUUAAACAUAGUAUAUAUAACCAACAAAAAUUCCCAUCUUUGCAAAUGCAGGCUAUCUGCCAGUUCCACAAAGGGAUUUUUUUUUCUAAAUAGCUACUGCAUAAGGAGUGUUGCCUGCAGAGCAGGUUUUGUGUGCUCAGCCUACUGCGAUCAUCAGGUCUGAGAGCACAGUAAAUGGAAUUCACAAGCCUUUCCAAGUCACCUCCUGUGUAAAGCCCUGAACAGACAGUCCCAGAAGUGAAGUAAGGAACAACUUCCCUCUCCGCCCCUUUGGGCAGCUCACAUACGUGCUUUUAGCAAUACCUAAAACAAGAAAAACACCUACAGCCACUUCACUGGGACUGGCGGAAACAGAACGGAAAUGAGAAACUGAUUAAGUGGAGAGCCAGCUUCACACGCAGAGAAACUUCCAACUUUCGUUCCUAACGACUUUUUAAAAACUGCUUCAGUUUUGCUUGUAUUCCCUUUGAAAAAAAUAAAAAUCUUGGCCCAUGAGCUCUCAGUGCCUACACAGAUGAAAGCUGUGAGAGGCCUUAAAUGACUUCAGCAGGAAACUACUGGGAAGGGGAGGGGUCUGUUUUCUGACAGUCCCAUUACACAUUUCUAGGAAAAAAUCUUUUCAAGUUCUGUGGACGAAAACGAAACAGAAUUACAGCACUGCCUCUCUCUUGGAGACAAUCAAAACAACACUUUUCCUGCUUCCAUGCUGGAGUGCUGCAAAGUAAUUCCCUUUUUUUAUCUGUCCUCCUCUCUUUCUCAGGAUCUUGGUGUCAGGAAUAGCACCUCAGAUUGAAGAAAUUGUUAGAAUCAGUUGCAUUCUGAUCUGCUCAAAUAGGAACUGUGUUUCAGGAAUGAUUUUCCUUGGACAUCAGUGAUUCAUGGAAACUCCAGAUCACUUCAGUAAAAUGCAGUCUCACAAGGAAGAACCUGCAACGUCUCAGUCUCAGAAAUGGGAUCCAAACCCAUUGAGUAAGUGCAUCUUCCAUAAGUGAAACCUGUCCAUCUUCUAAAAUCAUCUCAUGGGAAGAGAUGUCCACAGUAACACUAAACCACUGUAACAGCAAGCCAGGUAAAACUAUGGCUAUGGUGAUACUUUUGGGAAAAGCUUUUAAAAAGUACCUAAACUCUUUUUUCAUAAUGUUUCUGUCAGACAGAUUUACUAGAUUUUAGAAGUCUUUGUUUUACUCAAGCUUCUUUCUCAUCACCCCUGUACAUUUGCAAAGUGUAAUUAUCAUCCAGGGAAAGUCUUCUACAGACCACCAUAUUUUCAAAGGAAAAGGGAAAAAUACAGCAAAGGCUUCAAAGAUGUGAGUGAAUUAUUUCAUUCACAAGUGCAGCAUGUGCUCUCUCUUCUGUAAUGACACAGUACUGAAAACAAGAGGUAAUUAAUGCAAUUCCUUUGCCAAAUGAGUGGGAUCUUAUAAAGAAUUGGCACAUAAUCCUGAUUUGAGCUUUCUUGUUUUAAACAAAACCAAACCUAAUACAGAACAAUAUAAUGUACUAGCACGGUCCUUCACCAUAUUUUCCUUUUUUCCCCAAUAUGAGUGUCUGCAAAGUGCUGGGCCUGCAAUCAAAGGACACUCAGUGUCCAAACCAGCACUGUUGAUGCAGCCAGACAUUUCUGUGUACUACAGUACAGUCAUGAAAGUGAACCAAAGAAGAACAUUUGGUCUUUUGUUGUCUUACAUACCAAGACAGAAAAACAUAGCUCUUCCUCUGUUCUACCCAAUGAACAGAUGUAGGUUUAAUCACAUACAAAAGAAAAUGCUCACAAGUUUCAGACUUUCUCAUUUCUCAAGCAUUACUUUCUCAAAGAAAGUAAUUUUCAUCUAAUUAUCUUGAAACUGUCCAUAAAAAGAAGAUAGGUAAGGAAUUGGAUAAAUUCACCAAAUAGGGUUUCCUGUGGAGUUAUUUUCUUCAGCUGGAGAGAAACCUAAGGUAAUUUUCAUAAACAAAAAACUCAUGGCAAGAUAAGAAAAGAAGCCUCAGGGUCCAAUAUAGGAAAGUUGCAGGAGCUUCUUCAAUAAAUAGCUAUUACAGAGCAGUAUAAAUUCAGAUGCCUCCUCAAAGCUGCGGAUCAACCCAAUACACAAGGUUAGCAAAUAGCAGAGUUUGGUAAAAUAGAAGCAGAAAAUGCCACACAAUAGCCCAAAAGGACACCUCAAGGGCUGUAACUUUAAUCUUGCCACUAACCUACUAUCCAGCUACUCCACCUCCCCCCCAACUCAAAUCACCUCAUAAAUACCUAAGGCAGAUUAGCCUUCCUUCUGAGGAGCAUUAGAGCUCUGACAGACUGUGUGAAAUGCAGAUCCAGGGAACCCAGAUCUGGGGCAACUCUUCAAGACACGUUUUGAGAGGAUGUAGGUGGCAUGGAGGAUGGAAUUUGCAUCCAGAGAAAACAGGUAUGUUUCUAAUGCCAUCUGGCCCUUGGUUACCAGGCUCUAUCCUCAUGUACGUGGCUUCUACAAGGAUAACAUGCACAGAGUACAAAGAGAUCUUGCUUCCACAUCUGGGUGUUGCACCAGGAGCAGAGGGUGGAGGAACAGAGAUGAAAUCUGUGAUUCUGAAAGUAAGAUGCACAAUGCUGGCAUCUGGCAGCCAUAAAAGACACAUGAGGUAGAGCUGGGCCUCUGGCCUGUUGCCAGCCAGGGCGCCUGCAAGGAUAACAAGAGCUUGUAACCCCUGCAGAAGGGUCAGGAUGGCAGGAACACAAUUAUGGCCCAUGCUGCUAUUUCAACUACAAAUUCCCUAGCUUCCUAGAGUUUCAGUAAGAGUCUACCCAACAUCCUAAAUUAAUUUUAAAACCACAGGCAUUCAAAGUUCAUUGCAAAUGACCGGGCCCACGAAACAUCCAGACAUACACCUCCCACAGAAAAUCAGUGGGAGUUAAGCCCCUAAAUACUCCUCUACUUCUGUCCAAAUAUUUCCCCUUUUUCCCCCUUGAAAACCCCAAGUUGUGUCAUCCCUUUGAGCCUCUCUUGCUCGCAGCUUUUUCAGUCCUAUAUUUCACUGUAAUUUCUUGAGAGUAUCACAACCUGCAGUGCCCAGGCAGCAGCACCUGUGUGCUGUGUGGAGUUUCAGAGAUAGUGCUGCUGUCUCUGGAGCGUGUAGUGCCCACUUCAACAAGUGAAACCCACAUUCAACAAGUGCUGCCAGCUCCAUUCACAGGCUGUAGGGACAAACUCCUCCAAAGCCAGUCACAAGACUAGAUUACAGAUCCUGAAUGAAUCCAUGUCUAAACUCAGUAUUAAGGAAAUUUAAUGCAGGCACUUUCACUUACAGACGUUCUUGCAAUGCCUAGGAUCUAUCUGAGUUUCUAAAAAGCGAGUUUUUAAUUAUGAGCAGAGAAACAAUAGCUCAUUUCAGCAUGAGAAAGAAUACAACCACUAUUUUUCCAUGCUGUGUAAUUUAAAAAUAGGUCAACUCAUUAACUUUGAAGCUUUCAAAAAUACUAAAACUGAAAUACAAGGCUCAAUUUAUUUUUGUUUUUUAAGCCAGACCCAGAGAUUGAAGAGUUUUAGACCAAUGACUGCUUUAAAAUGAUGCAAGAGGAUAAAGUUUUUGAACUACAAAUCUAAUAUAGCCAGAACAGAUUGAUUUAAUAGUAAAUUUUUAAACAGAAAGUAAAUUUUUAAACAUUGACUAGAUUUGAAGCAUUUAAAUAAGACCAGAGCAUUAACUGCACGCCAAUUCAGAAAUGCUGCAGGGCCUGUAAUUUGUCACUCUGCACAUAUAGAUCAGGAUGACUUUUCUCACUUUUCUCCAUCGUGUGCAUGUUCAGAAUGCAAACAGAGGCCAAAGUGCACCUGAACAGCCAAUUGAGAAACUUCCCAUAUGUAAUGUGAACCAGACAGAAUCAAUACAUACUGCAAAAAAUUUACUAGGAAAGGGCAAUUUCUUACUCUGUACUUAAAAACAUAACCCUGGGGUUGAGAAUUACUCUCUUGACAUUUUGUAAGUCAACAACAACAGAAUUAUGAUUAGUGGGACCUUGACUUGCAGUGCUUCCCAAUCACCUUGUGCAGGACCUGGGGAACACCUGGUGUGCAUUCAGUAUGAAACAGAAGUUCAUCAGUGCCAGUGCCCAACAGGCUUCAGGGCUGUG